AAGUCGUAACAAGGUUUCCGUAGGUGAACCUGCGGAAGGAUCAUUAUUGAAUACGAUUGGUACUGAUGCUGGCCCUUUACUGGGCAUGUGCUCGCCCAUCUAUUUAUCUUCUCUUGUGCACAUCUUGUAGUCUUGGAUGAACCCUUGCGCAUUCGUGCGGUCUGGGAGCUGCGAAUUAAAACCUUUCUUCUCCUGCUUGUCCAAGGCUAUGUUUUCAUAUACACUAUAAAGUUACAGAAUGUCAAUUAACGACUUGUGCUUGUCACGGUCAUUAAACCUAUACAACUUUCAGCAACGGAUCUCUUGGCUCUCCUAUCGAUGAAGAACGCAGCGAAAUGCGAUAAGUAACGUGAAUUGCAGAAUUCAGUGAAUCAUCGAAUCUUUGAACGCACCUUGCGCCCUUUGGUAUUCCGAAGGGCAUGCCUGUUUGAGUGUCAUUAAAUUAUCAACCUUGCUCGCUUUUACCGGCUUGAGUUAGGCUUGGAUGUGAGGGUCUUUGCUGGCUUCCUUCAGUGGAUGGUCUGCUCCCUUUAAAUGCAUUAGUGGGAUCUCUUGUGGACCGUCACUUGGUGUGAUAAUUAUCUAUGUCAUCUUGACUUUGAAGCAAACUAAUGGGAACCUGCUCAUAACCGUCCUUUCAGGACAACUCUUGACAUUUUGACCUCAAAUCAGGUAGGACUACCCGCUGAACUUAAGCAUAUCAAUAAGCGGAGGAAAAGAAACUAACAAGGAUUCCCCUAGUAACUGCGAGUGAAGCGGGAAAAGCUCAAAUUUAAAAUCUGGCGGUCCCUGUGGCCGUCCGAGUUGUAAUUUAGAGAAGUGUUAUCCGUGCUGGACCGUGUACAAGUCUCCUGGAAUGGAGCGUCAUAGAGGGUGAGAAUCCCGUCUUUGACACGGACUGCCAGUGCUUUGUGAUGCGCUCUCAAAGAGUCGAGUUGUUUGGGAAUGCAGCUCAAAAUGGGUGGUAAAUUCCAUCUAAAGCUAAAUAUUGAGGAGAGACCGAUAGCGAACAAGUACCGUGAGGGAAAGAUGAAAAGAACUUUGGAAAGAGAGUUAAACAGUACGUGAAAUUGCUGAAAGGGAAACGCUUGAAGUCAGUCGCGCUGUUCAGGACUCAGCCUUGCUUUGCUUGGUGUACUUCCUGUUCGGUGGGUCAGCAUCAAUUUUGGUCGGUGGAUAAAGGCUUAGAGAAUGUGGCAUCUUCGGGUGUGUUAUAGCUCUGGGUCGCAUACAUCGGCUGGGAUUGAGGAACUCAGCACGCCGCAAGGCCGGGGACUUGUCCCACGUACGUGCUUAGGAUGCUGGCAUAAUGGCUUUAAUCGACC
rnacentral:rRNA from 1 species